UAGGAGUUAGUAUAGUGGUAGUACGCAAAAUUUUGGGUUUUGUGGCAUAGGUUCAAGUCCUAUAUUCUAG
rnacentral:tRNA from 1 species